rnacentral:rRNA from 1 species
AGUGAGCGCUGGCGGUAGGCCUAACACAUGCAAGUCGAACGGCAGCACAGUAAGAGCUUGCUCUUACGGGUGGCGAGUGGCGGACGGGUGAGGAAUACAUCGGAAUCUACUUUUUCGUGGGGGAUAACGUAGGGAAACUUACGCUAAUACCGCAUACGACCUACGGGUGAAAGCAGGGGAUCUUCGGACCUUGCGCGAUUGAAUGAGCCGAUGUCGGAUUAGCUAGUUGGCGGGGUAAAGGCCCACCAAGGCGACGAUCCGUAGCUGGUCUGAGAGGAUGAUCAGCCACACUGGAACUGAGACACGGUCCAGACUCCUACGGGAGGCAGCAGUGGGGAAUAUUGGACAAUGGGCGCAAGCCUGAUCCAGCCAUACCGUGUGGGUGAAGAAGGCCUUCGGGUUGUAAAGCCCUUUUGUUGGGAAAGAAAAGCAGCAGGUUAAUACCCCGCUGUUCUGACGGUACCCAAAGAAUAAGCACCGGCUACUUCGUG